UACACUAGGCUGAGAUACGAUGUCGAGCUACUACGGUAGUGAAGCCAUUGAUGCCAUGCUUCCAGGAAAAGCCUCUAAGCUUCAGAUUGUAAGGAAUCGUACCCCAAACCGACACAGGUGGUCGAGUAGAGAAUACUAAGGCGCUUGAGAGAACUCGGGUGAAGGAACUAGGCAAAAUGGUACCGUAACUUCGGGAGAAGGUACGCUCCUAGCGGUGAUGAGACUUGCUCUCUAAGCUGCCGGGAGUCGCAGAUACCAGGUGGCUGCAACUGUUUAUUAAAAACAUAGCACUGUGCUAAAUCGUAAGAUGACGUAUACGGUGUGACGCCUGCCCGGUGCUUGAAGGUUAAUUGAUGGGGUUAGACUUCGGUCGAAGCUCUUGAUCGAAGCCCAAGUAAACGGCGGCCGUAACUAUAACGGUCCUAAGGUAGCGAAAUUCCUUGUCGGGUAAGUUCCGACCUGCACGAAUGGCGUAAUGAUGGCCACGCUGUCUCCACCCGAGACUCAGUGAAAUUGAAAUCGCUGUGAAGAUGCAGUGUACCCGCGGCUAGACGGAAAGACCCCGUGAACCUUUACUACAGCUUGGCACUGAACAUUGACCCUACAUGUGUAGGAUAGGUGGGAGCCUUUGAAGCAAGUACGCCAGUAUUUGUGGAGGCAAUCUUGAAAUACCACCCUUGUAUGCUUGAUGUUCNNNNNNNNNNCCUGGUGGGUAGUUUGACUGGGGCGGUCUCCUCCCAAAGAGUAACGGAGGAGCACGAAGGUGGGCUAAUCACGGUUGGACAUCGUGAGGUUAGUGCAAUGGCAUAAGCCCGCUUGACUGCGAGAAUGACAAUUCGAGCAGGUGCGAAAGCAGGUCAUAGUGAUCCGGUGGUUCUGAAUGGAAGGGCCAUCGCUCAACGGAUAAAAGGUACUCCGGGGAUAACAGGCUGAUACCGCCCAAGAGUUCAUAUCGACGGCGGUGUUUGGCACCUCGAUGUCGGCUCAUCACAUCCUGGGGCUGAAGUCGGUCCCAAGGGUAUGGCUGUUCGCCAUUUAAAGUGGUACGCGAGCUGGGUUUAGAACGUCGUGAGACAGUUCGGUCCCUAUCUGCCGUGGGCGUUGGAUGAUUGAAGGGGGCUGCUCCUAGUACGAGAGGACCGGAGUGGACGAACCUCUGGUGUUCGGGUUGUCACGCCAGUGGCAUUGCCCGGUAGCUAAGUUCGGAAUCGAUAAACGCUGAAAGCAUCUAAGCGUGAAGCGAGCCCUGAGAUGAGUCAUCCCUGAUACUUUAAGUAUCCUAAAGGGUUGUUGGAGACUACGACGUAGAUAGGUCAGGUGU
rnacentral:rRNA from 1 species